GAACGCUGGCGGCAGGCCUAACACAUGCAAGUCGAACGAACUCUUCGGAGUUAGUGGCGGACGGGUGAGUAACACGUGGGAACGUGCCUUUUGGUUCGGAAUAACUCAGGGAAACUUGUGCUAAUACCGAAUGUGCCCUUCGGGGGAAAGAUUUAUCGCCAUUAGAGCGGCCCGCGUCUGAUUAGCUAGUUGGUGAGGUAAAGGCUCACCAAGGCGACGAUCAGUAGCUGGUCUGAGAGGAUGAUCAGCCACAUUGGGACUGAGACACGGCCCAAACUCCUACGGGAGGCAGCAGUGGGGAAUCUUGCGCAAUGGGCGAAAGCCUGACGCAGCCAUGCCGCGUGAAUGAUGAAGGUCUUAGGAUUGUAAAAUUCUUUCACCGGGGACGAUAAUGACGGUACCCGGAGAAGAAGCCCCGGCUAACUUCGUGCCAGCAGCCGCGGUAAUACGAAGGGGGCUAGCGUUGCUCGGAAUUACUGGGCGUAAAGGGAGCGUAGGCGGACAUUUAAGUCAGGGGUGAAAUCCCGGGGCUCAACCUCGGAAUUGCCUUUGAUACUGGGUGUCUUGAGUAUGAGAGAGGUGUGUGGAACUCCGAGUGUAGAGGUGAAAUUCGUAGAUAUUCGGAAGAACACCAGUGGCGAAGGCGACACACUGGCUCAUUACUGACGCUGAGGCUCGAAAGCGUGGGGAGCAAACAGGAUUAGAUACCCUGGUAGUCCACGCCGUAAACGAUGAUUGCUAGUUGUCGG
rnacentral:rRNA from 1 species